UACGAAGGGGGCUAGCGUUGCUCGGAAUCACUGGGCGUAAAGGGGGCGUAGGCGGGUCUUUAAGGCAGGGGGGAAAUCCUGGAGCUCAACUCCAGAACUGCCUUUGAUACUGAGGAUCUUGAGUACGGGAGAGGUGAGUGGAACUGCGAGUGUAGAGGUGAAAUUCGUAGAUAUUCGCAAGAACACCAGUGGCGAAGGCGGCUCACUGGCCCGUAACUGACGCUGAGGCACGAAAGCGUGGGGAGCAAACAGG
rnacentral:rRNA from 1 species